rnacentral:rRNA from 1 species
UGGGGAAUAUUGCACAAUGGGGGAAACCCUGAUGCAGCAACGCCGCGUGAGCGAUGAAGGUCUUCGGAUUGUAAAGCUCUGUCUUUGGGGACGAUAAUGACGGUACCCAAGGAGGAAGCCACGGCUAACUACGUGCCAGCAGCCGCGGUAAUACGUAGGUGGCAAGCGUUGUCCGGAUUUACUGGGCGUAAAGGGAGCGUAGGCGGACUUUUAAGUGGGAUGUGAAAUACUCGGGCUUAACCUGAGUGCUGCAUUCCAAACUGGAAGUCUAGAGUACAGGAGGGGAAAGUGGAAUUCCUAGUGUAGCGGUGAAAUGCGUAGAGAUUAGGAAGAACACCGGUGGCGAAGGCGACUUUCUGGACUGUAACUGACGCUGAGGCUCGAAAGCGUGGGGAGCAAACA